UAUUUAGGUCAUUAAAAUUUUUUAACAAUGAAGGUAAAAAAAAUUAUGACCAAAUUUUUUAUCACUAAAAACCUAAAUUCUUAUAAUGAUAAUACAUCUAGUAUGUUAUGGUACGAUGGAUAUGUCAAACCAUGGCUAAGACUAUAAUUAAGUAGCAACUGAAAUUAUGAUUAUCAUUGAUUUGUAAACCCAUCUACUUAAUAAUUAUUAAGCAUACAAAAAGGCACUUUUUUCCUAGAAUAUAGCUAUUGUAUUUACAUGAACAUGCUCUAGAACAUCAAAUAGGACAUGUAUCUUGGAACAGUAAAUUGCCAUUCAUAUUUCACCACAAAACAACCAUUCAUCACAUACACAAAGAAAUUUUAGAAAAAUAAUAGGAACAAGAAUAAUUUAUUACAGCAGUUCCAGACUAACGCUGUGGAUCUUCGGAUAUUUUGACUGCACGUUAUUUGAAUAUGGAAAAUUGGAAGAUACGCAUAUGCUAUAUAUGGUAAACUUAUUUUAUUUUGAAAUUUAUAGCUCCACACCUGUUUGUUAUUACUUGAAUCUCUUCGGCUUGGAGACGGUUUCCUUGAAGAAUCCCCAUCACAUGCUGGCAUUUCAUUUCCAAACUGCAAAAUCACAAAUUUGUUAGCAAGGAAUAUUAUCAAAAGAAUAUUAAGACUUCUUCUUCUUCUUCUUCUUCUUCUUCUUGUGAGCAAGUAUUUAGAGACCAAUUCUUAAUUUCUUUCAAGGUUGCCCUCAUUUAAACAUGAUAAAAAAAAAAAAUCCCCUUUUUGUCAAGAUUGCUGACUGCAUACUAAGUUUUUGGUAAUAUAUCUACUCAUAGGUGCCAUUAUUUUCACCACAGCAUGAUCAAUUUCACUUCACCGACGCAUAAAAAUAUCAAAUACAUAUAUAUAUAUAUAUAGAACUUCUCGUCAAAUAAGAACUACAGGGGUAGCAAGAAGAGAGAACUUCCAACUCCUAGCAUGCAUGUAACCAUUAAUUCCUUGGAAAAAUCAAAAGGAGUUCACCAAUCUGUAAUUUAAAAAUUAAAAAGAAGGAAAACUCAAAUGGAGAAAUAAAUUAACCAUAAUAUGUACAAAGAACAAGAGAUUAGAAGCAGCAGCAGCACCUUUCCAAUCUCUCCACUCUCUUCUUCCCCGACACAUUUGACAUCUGUCUCCUCUUUGACAGCAACAUUUUCCUUGAGCAUCACCUCCAUUAAAGACCAACCAGGGUCACCUUUCCUUCCCUCCUCUUGAUGAAACUUUGAUGUCCUUCUUUGGCUUUUGUCCUUUCAAUCCACCCCCUAUAUAGAGAAGCCUUCUAACUUUGACCGGCAUUAAGAAUUGAAAUCCAAGUGCUUAUCUCUCUUAGGUUCGAAACAUCAAAAGG
rnacentral:lncRNA from 1 species